rnacentral:rRNA from 1 species
UGGGGAAUUUUGGACAAUGGGCGAAAGCCUGAUCCAGCCAUGCCGCGUGAGUGAAGAAGGCCUUCGGGUUGUAAAGCUCUUUUAGUCGGAAAGAAAGAGUUGCAAUGAAUAAUUGUGAUUUAUGACGGUACCGACAGAAAAAGCACCGGCUAACUACGUGCCAGCAGCCGCGGUAAUACGUAGGGUGCGAGCGUUAAUCGGAAUUACUGGGCGUAAAGGGUGCGCAGGCGGUCUUGCAAGUCAGAUGUGAAAGCCCCGGGCUUAACCUGGGAAUUGCGUUUGAAACUACAAGGCUAGAGUGCAGCAGAGGGGAGUGGAAUUCCAUGUGUAGCAGUGAAAUGCGUAGAGAUGUGGAAGAACACCGAUGGCGAAGGCAGCUAGCUGGGCCUUGAUUGACGCUGAGGCACGAAAGCGUGGGGAGCAAACA